rnacentral:sRNA from 1 species
GACCGCCCUUUACGGGGCUGAGGCCAUACGGACAGCCGGGUCGGAUGCCGA